rnacentral:rRNA from 1 species
AUUGAACGCUGGCGGCAGGCCUAACACAUGCAAGUCGAACGGUAACAGGAAGCACCUUGCUGCCUCGCGUACGAGUGGCGGAGGUGAGUGUCAUGUGGGUGAAGCUCCUAUAUGGAGGGGGUAAACUACUGGAAACGGUACUUAUUACCGCAUAAAUUCUCAAGCCCAAAGAUGGGGACUUUCGGGCGUCUUUCCUUCGGCUGUGCCCUGAUUCCGCUGCGCAUUAGCUUGGUGGUCGGGUAACGGCUCCCCAAGGCAACGAUGCGUAGCCGGUCUGAGAGGGUGACCAGCCACACUGGAACUGAGACACGGUCCAGACUCCUACGGGAGGCAGCAGUGGGGAAUCUUCCGCAAUGGGCGCAAGCCUGACGGAGCAACGCCGCGUGUAUGAAGAAGGUCUUCGGGUCGUAAAGUUCUUUUAGCGGGGAGGAACGAAGUUAUGAUAAUCUCUUCACGCAUUGACGUUACCUAAAGAAGAAGCCACGGCUAACUCCGUG